GCCACAUCCGGACGCCGCCGGGAGCCGCCGGGAGCCGCCGGGGUGGGCGGGAGUCGGGGCGGCGCGCAGGUUCCCGGCCCCCUAAGGGACGGUUGCCUUCCCCAGAGCCGGGGACACAGGCGUACGUGCGGGGACCUCGGCGCUGGCCUCCGGGCUUCUGGAGCCCCUCCCUGGUGCGGAGCGGGGACGGUGACCUCCUCGUGGAUUCUGGGAGGGGCAGCCUUGGCAUCAGGACCUGGAAGCCGGAGAGGCUGCAGGGCUUCCAGCCAUGGCCUUGCCACCGGAGGUCACGUAGUGUUUCCACAUUUCCUUAGUGUGUACAUGUGUGGGUCCCUGUGUUGUGGAGGGCUGUGUCUGCUUGGUGUGUGUGCACACGCGUGUGUGCAUGGGUGGGUCCCUGUGUUGUGUAGGGGCCGUGUCUGCUUGGUGUGUGUGCACACGCGUGUGUGCAUGGGUGGGUCCCUGUGUUGUGGAGGGCUGUGUCUGGGCAGGCUGUGUACACACCCAUGUGCAUGUGUGAUGCGCACUGGGGCACUUGUCUGGGUAGUAGAGGUGGAGGCCUGUGUGGCCAUAUGUGCAACUGUGUGUCCGGGUGCGUGUACCACAGUCUUCCCUAAAAUAGUAAUACUGGGACCUACGUCAUGGGGCUGUUGUGACCGCGUGUGGCACUCCAUGUGGGGUGGCACAGCCAGGCGCUGAUCCGGCCACUUUGCCAGUCGGACUGACUGCGUGUCCUCUCCUUAGGGGUGAGAAGCUUCCUGGCAUCGGGCCUGGGCUCCUGAGCCCCUGAGCCAACCGACUGAUGGUCCCUGGGAGACAGCCCCCGCCCUGCUCCUGCCCCCCACACCUGAAAGGCUCAUUGUGUGGGUUUGCUGUGCUCCACAGGGAUGUAAACCGCCCCUCCUUUUCCCUGUUCUGUCUGUGAGAAGGUGCCAGGGAUACUUUUUUUUUUUUUUGAGACCAAGCUUCACUCUUAUUGCCCAGGCUGGAGCGCAAUGGCGCGAUCUCGGCUCACUGCAACCUCCACCUCCCAGGUUCAAGCGAUUCUCCUGCCUCAGCCUCCCGAGUAGCUGGGAUUAUAGGCAUGUGCCACCACACCUGGCUAAUUUUUUUUUUUCAGCAGAGAUGGAGUUUUCUCCAUGUUGGUCAGGCUGGUCUCGAACUCCUGACCUCAGGUGAUCCGCCGGCCUCAGCGUCCCAAAGUUCUGGGAUUGCAGGCGUGAGCCACCGUGCCCAGCCCGUUUUUUUUAAGAGUCGGGGUUUCACUUUAUCGCCCAGACUGGAGUGCAGUGGUGCAAUCAUGGCUCACUGCAGCCUCAACCUCCUGGGCUCAAGCAAUUCUCCCGCCUCAGCCUCCUGAGUAGCUGGGAUCACAGGUAUGCACUAAUUUUUGUAUUUUUUUGUAGAGACAGGGUCUUGCUAUGUUGUCCAGGCUGGUCUUGAACUCCUGGGCUCAAGCAAUCCUCCUACCUUA
rnacentral:lncRNA from 1 species